GACGAACCGUCCGAACGUUAUUCGGAAUCACUGGGCUUAAAGGGUGCGUAGGCGGCGCGGCAAGUUGGGUGUGAAAUCCCUCGGCUCAACCGAGGAACUGCGCCCAAAACUGCCGUGCUCGAGGGAGAUAGAGGUGAGCGGAACUUAGGGUGGAGCGGUGAAAUGCGUUGAUAUCCUAAGGAACACCGGUGGCGAAAGCGGCUCACUGGAUCUCUUCUGACGCUGAGGCACGAAAGCUUGGGUAGCGAACGGG
rnacentral:rRNA from 1 species